GUUGGGUAUAGCCGAACCAGUGUAUGGUGCUUGACCCCGAGCCAAACGGUUUUGGGUUCGAUCCCCAAUGUCCACA